rnacentral:lncRNA from 1 species
AAUAUUUCAAAAAUAAAUGUUACAAUUAUUAGAAAAUAUAUUUGUACAGAACUAAUGUUUAUGGAACCAUAUAAGUAUUAUUAGAAAGGGUGUAUUUUAUAUACUCCUGGGAGUAAGGUUGAAAACAGAACGGAAAUAUCCCGAACCGAACCGCAUCGUUUUCUAAAUUUGACCCGAUCGAUUCCGUAUUUUUCGGACAAAUUCGGAUUCGGUUCGAAAUUCGGAGUAGUAAAUUCGAACUCGGAGCGAAAUCGGUUUGGGGUUUGUUCGACCGGUUUCCAUAUUUCUAUAUUAUAUUCGGAAUUUGAUCGAAUUCAAAUUCGGUCAGAACCGAAUUUGCAAACCCAGCAGGCAGCAGCCCAGCCCACGAAAGCCCACCAGCCAACCCUAAACCACCCUCAGACCCUCUCGGUUCUCUCCUGGAGAGUGGUGGAGACUGGAGUCCUCUGUCCUCCUGGCGGGCGGCGGCGCAUCCUUCCUGACGCCACCUCGCCCGCGUGCACCUGCCGCUCGCGCCUCGCGCAAGGCCGCCGCGCCCGCCCCGCGCAAGGCCGCUGCGCCCGCGCCCCCGCGCAAGGCCGCCGCGCGCCCGCGCCCGCGCUCGCCCGCGCCAGCGCCCGCGCUCGCUCGCCCGGCCGCGCGCCCGCGCUCGCCCGGCUCCGCGCCCGCGCUCGCCCGCGUCGUCCAGUGACCGGUAGAUGGCGCCCUCUGGACAUGGAGAUGGUGGUUCUUCUGCAGUGAAGGGCAAGGCAACCAAGGCCAAGACAAAGAGUAUCCGUCUGCUUCAUGCGCCGCCGCCAGCAACUUCUCAAUCUCAAGGUGCGGAUCUGUGGUUCUUUAGUUAUUUGGAACAUUUUACAGAUUUAGUAAUGUACUGAUUAUUUGGUAAUAUGUAGGAUCAAGAAAAAGACCUUCAGCUCAAAGUGUUGAAUCUAGUGGAACUUGUGAAAGUCCAGCUACAGCAGCAUCAGUAGCAGUCUCGGCGAUUGGUUCUUCUAUUCCAGUUCCAAAUGUUGACACUAAUUGCAGUGGGGGCAGUGGCGCUGGUGCACCAGCAACAUGUCCCACUAACGUAGUGCCAAUCAGUGUUGCUGAUGAUGGUGAUGACGACGAUGAAGAGCAGGCUCACCUUUCUGGCAAGAGGCAUAAGAAAUUGACAUCAUGGGUGUGGAAGUAUUUCACCAAGAAAAAGGAAUAUAUAGAGGUGCAAGGACAGGAGAUUGAAGAGAUAUGGGGAUAUUGUAAUUUCUCUAGGUGCAACCAGAGGUACAGAGCUGAGGGCGUCUGUGGGACAACUGCAUUCAAGAACCAUUUGAGGUCGAAACACAGUAUUGUGAAGGGACAACAACAGCUUCAAGUUGGUAAGCAACCUGGUUCUGAAAAUACUCUUGUGCAGCCUUUCAAAUAUGAUCAAGAUGUUAGCUUGAAGAAAUUGAAUUUGGCAAUAACCAUGCAUGAAUAUCCUUUCAAUAUAGUUGAGCAUGAGUAUCUUGUAGAUUUCAUAAAAUCUCUUCGUCCUAGCUUUCCAAUAAAAUCUCGUGUCACUGUUAGAAAAGAAAUCAUGGACAAAUAUCUUGAAGAAAAGGAAACUUUGUAUGCACACUUGAAAACUAUGAAGUGUCGGUUUAGUGCAACAAUGGAUAUGUGGACCUCAUGCCAAAAUAAAGGAUACAUGUGUGUUACUAUUCAUUGGAUAGAUGAAAGUUGGUGUAUGCAAAAGAGGAUUAUAGCUUUCUUCAAUGUAAAAGGUAGGCAUACUGGUGCAAAGUUAUCACAGACAUUCACUGAAGUUAUGGUUAAAUGGUACAUUGAAAAUAGGCUGUUUGCUUUGACCUUAGAUAAUGCUAGUUCCAAUGAAGUGGCUGUCAAUGAUAUAAUUUCAGAUCUGAAAGAGAAUGGUAAUGGUUCCCUAGUUUGUGAUGGGAUGUUUUUUCAUGUUAGAUGUGCCUGCCAUAUUCUCAAUUUGGUUGCUAGAGAUGGGUUGAAAGUCAUUUCAGGGACACUCAAGAAGAUUAAAUCACUUGUGCUAGCGGUGAAAGGGUCUCCACUGCAGUGGGAAGUGCUUAUGAAGUGUGCCACAGAAGAGGGGUUGGAUACAAAGAGAGGUAUUCAAAUGGAUGUUUCCACAAGGUGGAAUUCUACCUACCUAAUGCUGAGAGAUGCUUUGUAUUACAAGGAUGCAUUUGUUAGGCUAAAGUCUUCAGAUCGCCGUAGGUAUUCCAAUAUCUCUCCAUCCUCUGCUGAAUGGGACAAUGCAAAGACAAUUUAUGUCUGCUUGAAGAAAUUUUAUGAUCUCACUGAAAUUCUCUCUGGCACUUCAUACCCUACUGCAAACUUAUUCUAUAGAGGUUUUUGUGAUAUUAAGCUCAUGCUUGAUGAUUGGUGUUGUGGUCAAGAUGAUACAAUUAGAAAAAUGGCAGUUGCUAUGAAUGAUAAAUUUGACAAAUAUUGGGACCAAUCCAACAAAGCUCUUGCUGUAGCCUGUUUUCUUGAUCCUAGGUACAAGAAAAGGCUCAUAGAGUACUACAUGAAAAAAUUCUAUGGUGAUAAUUAUAAAGCUGAACUUGAUGAGUUUGUGAGUGUCAUAAAGAAACUGUACAACUUCUAUGUUAGUGCUGCUGCAUCAUCAAGGCAUACCAGUAAAGGGGCUGCACAUGGACCUAGUACCACAUCUGACAUAUUUAUGGAAAAUGUAGACCAUGACCUAGAAGAAUUCUUGUAUGAUGCAAAUGAACCAGAUAUGGUUGAGUCAAAUGAGUUGGAUAGGUAUCUUGGAGAGCCGCUGCUGAAAGUUGCUGAAUUUGAUAUCUUAGCAUGGUGGAAAAAUAAGAGGGAACAAUAUCCUAUCCUUUCACAAAUUGUUAGGGAUGUAAUGGCCAUACAGGUAUCAACGGUAGCAUCUGAGUCUGCUUUUAGUGCUGCUGGUCGUGUUAUUGACCCAUAUCGCAGUCGUCUUGAGCCUGAGAUGGUACAGGCAUUAAUUUGCACAAAGGAUUGGGUUGCUGCAGCAAGUAAAGGUACUUAUUUAAUUUGUUUUUUUCAUGUUGGACACUAGAUAUUGCAGCAGACUAAUGCAUUGUUUUUUUUCUUUUCAUUUUUUUUAGAUUCUAAAAUGCUUGGAUCAAUUGUGACUGAUCUUGAGGUAGAUGCUUUGACUAAUGUUGUGGCUAAACUCAAAAUUGAGGUAUGUUCAUUGACUUGCUUGGUGCUUGCUAUCCUUAACUAUACUAGUUGCUACAUCUAAUUUUAAUUAACUUUGCAAUAGGAAAAUAACGAGGAAGAUGAGCACUAUGCGGAGGACAGGGACAACGAGGAAGCAAUAGACAUUGACGGUGAUGCGGACGUCAUGAACAAUGCUGAUGAACUUUAGACAUGUAUUUCAUAAUAAUUGUUCUAGACUUAUAUAUUUGUGUAUCGGUGUGAUGACACUUGAGAGUUUAUGCGGUCAUGCACUUGUUUGGCUAUUGACUGUUAUCGGUAUUCCGUAUUAAUCCCGUGUACCGACCGUGUUCGAUAUAAUUUCGCUCGAAUUGGUUCGUGUUCGAGAUUCCGUAUGUUCGAGUUCGUGUUCGGCUUUACCGUUUUCGUUUCCGUAUUCGUAUUUAAAUGUAAAAAUAGAAAACAAUUGAGCAGUUUUUCGACCGAGUUCGACCGUUUUCAACCUUACCUGGGAGUAGUUUAGUCCAUAAUCAAUAAAUCAUGUUGCGUAUAUGUAAUAAUACUCAUUUAUGAGUUUGGGUACGUUGAUAUACAUAUUAAGAUACUCUAUAUCUUUACUACGUGAUUCUUUAUAAAAGACUCCAUGUGUAUUUAAUACUAUGACAAUAACAUAUAAAAUAAGUAUAAACAUAUACUCUAAACAUACUUGCAUACUUGAUAUAUUUAGUACCCUAGAUGGUCUAAUAUGAUGAUAUACUCCGUCUACAUAAUUAAACUUCGUCAGGCCAUAUACGCCAUAAAUCUAGAGAUAUACAUACGUGAGUAACUACUUCCUAAGUAGGAAAUAAUUUCCCUUAUUAAAAGUAUGUAUGUAUAUAUAUUAUACCUAUUUGGUCUCAUAAUGUUGAUGCUCUUGUGU